GUUGUCAAAGAUUAGACUGUGCUGGAAACGGAAGUGGUACAGCCAGGAUGUGAUGACAACCACCACCAGGGUGAUUAAGCUAAAACUUCACGUUCCGUUUAACUUCAUCAAAACUGCUUGUGUGGUUCAGCGUGGACUCUAGUUGACGAGUAUAAGAUGCACCGAUUUUUAAUUCGCCUAUUAAUGGCCGGAUGAUUUGCGGAAUGCCUGACAAAGGAGACAGGGUCCUAUUUCCUACCUAUUUUACAAAGUUCGAUUAGUAAUGCAUAAGUUUGUAUGUCUGUGGUUUUCCAAUUUACCUUUUUUAUUACACCGCAUAUUUCCGCUGUAAACUUGCACAAAUCAGAGGAAAACAAAUUACAAACGUCCGUCAAUUUGACCUUGUCGACAUGAUCCGCAACAUCCAACCCGAUUUUCUUAACUUCGUUGAUUACAUUUUCACCAACGUUGGUAAUGAUAUCGGGUAACCAGCUUCGUUUCUUCCUUCGAAAAACCCCUCGACCUUUGAUCAAAUUAAUGCAUUCCUUCUUCAGGCUGUCCAUUUUCGUCUGGCAAUUACCAUUUACCGAUGUCAUUGUCUCCCGGCAUCGAUUCAUUUGAAGAUUGAGGUCGUUGAGAGUCGAAUCGAAUGAAUCUGAAGUCUUCUUUAGGAAAUCAUCAAAGGAAUCAAUUGAGUGCUGGACUGAUUCGACCAAAUUUACAUAAUUGGCCAAGCUAUCUCCUACUUGUGUGCUCAUAUCUCUCAUCGAUUCUGUGUAGCGUUCCGAUGCCAAUCUUGUUUGAUUAAAGGCUGCUUCACCGAAACAAAUCAGUGACUGAGUCGUCUGUUUAAAGUUGUAAUUCAAAUUAGCGGCCGGUCCGGCUAAGAGCAUGCUUGCCAACAAGGCCAAUAGAGAAGAUUUCCCUAAUCGCGUUCCUAACGAAGGAAUGAGCAGGGAUACAAUGCAGCGAGCUGAUUGAGAAAAUGCCAAUAGGAUUGAAAUUCCAAUAGCAACAACUCCACCAGUGAUUCCGGCCACCCUGUCUUCGAUGUUGUGGCGAUAGUGCAGUAAGAAAAAGAAAACUGUUCCAACCAACAAAGAUUUGGUUUGAGAUGCGGAAGACGUCCGUUUUACAUACUGCUGACCUUGCCUUACUUCCAAUGCUGCUUCAUCGUUUUGUAGAAUGGGAACUUCCGCUUGAGCUUCCGUUUGCGACGUCAUGGGAAUUUUUUCUGCAGCAGAGAUCUCUUUUAUUGAUGCUUUUUUGCACGACACUAAUGCGCUUCAAUCUGUCACUCUAAUCCAAUCGUUUGAAACUGCAUGGGUGACAAAACAUUUCUGAAUAGACUUUCGUUAUCUUCAACGUUUCCUUCUGCUUGGUGGUUUGUUUUGGUGUCGGUUUUAUUUCUCAACUUAUUAUAAGAUAACAAAAGAAAAAUCAGAGAUAUACAGUAAUUAUUUCAGAUAUAAAUAUUUAUUAACAAGAUUUUGCUGCGAGUCAACCUUUCUUAGGGAAUUCUUAAUGAAAUUUUUAAGUGCUAGAAAAUUUUCUGGAAAAGGCGAGAAAACGCCCUUGAUUCGAAAUAAGCUCAAUUAAUGUUUUGUUUUGCUUGAGCGCCAGCUAGUGUUUUUUAAAAUUACAUUAUACAACCAGCUGCCUGUUAUUCAUAUGGAAAAACUCAACAGGAAGCGGAAGAAUUGCGCAAAUAUUUAAAACACGGUCUUUUAUGGGACUUGCCGUUUUAAGACUGAAGAAUGUGUUUUUUAAUGCUAACUUGAUAGUUUUUUUCUGUUUUACGUGUGUUGGUGGAAAAAAGUGACAAACUUAAUUUACAGUAAAUUUUCACGUUUCAAAGGAGAAUCCGUUACAAAGAACCGCUGUUCCAAUACAUCUGUCAUCAUGA
rnacentral:lncRNA from 1 species